AUGAAUAGGGGACUACACUGCAAGGCUGUUGUGAACCCUCAGUCGCAAACUCAGGGAGCGCCUGUAUAGAUUUCUUGAGGACAAUAAAUCAGAUUUCUCCUCUCUACUAUAGUGGGAGAUUCUGGGGAGUCUAAAGAGUCUCAAAAGCUGGCGUGAGAACCGAUUGCAGCCCCCUCUAAUCUUCAUAACUCUACGUUCCAUGCGGAAGCGCUCUGGCCGGGCCAGCCGCCCCCGCCUCCUCCUCUCGAUGGUCGUGCGUCGCCCUUUCCCUUCCCCCGACCUUGGCGUCUCGUUCCGGGAUGGCGCUCUCGCGUCGCGGGAUGGCGGCCUUGGGGAUGGUCGGGUCGAUGGCGUUAGGGCUGUGGCUGGUCUCUUGGACCGAGAAGGCCAGGAAGGAGAACUUGAAGGAGUUCUAUAAACACCACUCUUUACAGCAGUCCAAUGCUCAAAAUGAGGAAAGCAAGACUGUAGCAGCCUUGAAAGAAGCGAUUGAGACCGACAAGGAUCUAGCCGCGAGCCUGUGGUUUGGGAAAAAAUAGCACACCCCACUCCAACCAACCAACCCACCCUGGUAGCUGCAUGGGGGCUGAAUAUGGAAGGGUCAUUCUCUGGACGGACAUCUGAAGGAUCCUGGCUCCAAAGACAGCUGAUUCUGAGCUGAAUAAAGCAUUGGAACUUUGCACUAAACGUAUCACUUUGGGGGGGAAACCAUGCAUUUGUACAACUUUAACAACUUUAUAAAGGAGCUGGGGACAUCUUGUGCUGCUGGUCAGAAUGUGCAAGGUGCUGGCGGCGUUGUGGAUCAGAUUUUUGCGACAGGAGAGCGAUCCGGGUAAAUUUUGGGAAUGACGGUGCAUGGUUCUCUUGCUCCCAACCCGGAACAAAGAAUCAGGGGAGGCGUUGCCGCCCGGAGACUUAGAGCGAGCGGACGGGGGCCGAGGUCCUUCCAUAGAGAGAGCAGGCAGGAAGCGGAGCGGCUGGAAGGGGGCGGCGGCCCUUCCGGCGUGGAUUUCCCUGGGCGCCGCCAUCUUGCCCCGCCGAAGGAGCCAUGGCGAGCGAGGAAUCCGAGUACCGGCCGCCCUUCUGCUCCUCCCCGGCCUGCCGCUUGCUGAGCUCGGCCGCCUUCAUCGGCUCCGGCCUCUGGGUCUUCAACGGCAUCCGCCACUCCCAGGCCGGGCAGCUGUGGAGGCUGAACAAGAAGAUCCCCCACCUCCAGGUGUUCCUGAGCGUGGGUCUCGUGAGUUGGGGUCUGGCCAUCCUAGUCGGACCUAGACCGCGGAAGAGCGGAUGAGAAGGAGCAAAUCUACGUGCACCCCCUUCGCCAGGAUUUGGUGUCCGCUCGCAUCCCUGGAAGUUCAGACUCAAAUAGAGAAAACAGCCCGGGUGGGCGGGCCAGCUCAACAGCCCUCUUCUGAUUUUAGCCACGUGGACGGAGGUGGCUUUUCACCCUUGAGAUCAACAGCGUGGAUCCUAGAAAGUCUGUGCCAUACGCCAUGCCAGAAAUGGACAGUGCGCUCCCCUAUGUAUUAAAAUAAAACCCUUAAAAUCCUGCUUAUUCUGCA
rnacentral:lncRNA from 1 species